UUGAACGCUGGCGGCAUGCCUUACACAUGCAAGUCGAAGGCAGCACGGUGCUUGCACCUGGUGGCGAGUGGCGAACGGGUGAGUAAUAUAUCGGAACGUACCUUAUCGUGGGGGAUAACGCAGCGAAAGCUGCGCUAAUACCGCAUACGCCCUGAGGGGGAAAGCGGGGGACCGUAAGGCCUCGCGCGAUUAGAGCGGCCGAUAUCUGAUUAGCUUGUUGGUGGGGUAAAAAGCCCACCAAGGCGACGAUCAGUAGCUGGUCUGAGAGGACGAUCAGCCACACUGGGACUGAGACACGGCCCAGACUCCUACGGGAGGCAGCAGUGGGGAAUUUUGGACAAUGGGGGCAACCCUGAUCCAGCAAUGCCGCGUGAGUGAAGAAGGCCUUCGGGUUGUAAAGCUCUUUUGUCAGGGAAGAAACAGCAGCUCUAACACAGUCUGCGAAUGACGGUACCUGAAGAAUAAGCACCGGCUAACUACGUG
rnacentral:rRNA from 1 species